AUUGAACGCUGGCGGCAUGCCUUACACAUGCAAGUCGAACGGUAACAGGUCUUCGGAUGCUGACGAGUGGCGAACGGGUGAGUAAUACAUCGGAACGUGCCCGAUCGUGGGGGAUAACGGAGCGAAAGCUUUGCUAAUACCGCAUACGAUCUACGGAUGAAAGCAGGGGACCGCAAGGCCUUGCGCGGACGGAGCGGCCGAUGGCAGAUUAGGUAGUUGGUGGGAUAAAAGCUUACCAAGCCGACGAUCUGUAGCUGGUCUGAGAGGACGACCAGCCACACUGGGACUGAGACACGGCCCAGACUCCUACGGGAGGCAGCAGUGGGGAAUUUUGGACAGUGGGCGAAAGCCUGAUCCAGCCAUGCCGCGUGCAGGAUGAAGGCCUUCGGGUUGUAAACUGCUUUUGUACGGAACGAAAAGACUCUUUCUAAUAAAGAGGGUCCAUGACGGUACCGGAAGAAUAAGCACCGGCUAACUACGUG
rnacentral:rRNA from 1 species